AGGAAGGGAAAAUCCUAUCUGGAUAUAGGAACAAAUUUCAACCCAACACGCUUCAAUAUUCUCUCUUCUUUUUUUGUUCUUCAUUCUCUUAAUUCUUUGCUCAGAUCAAAUUUCCCGGCCGUCGUUUCCUUUCAGGAACUUCGGUUUUCGUUUUCAUGGUCAUGUUUUCUAUCAGUUUCAAUAUUGAUUGAUUCUAUGAGCAUGAUGAUGAUGGAUGGAUGAGACUAUUAACUUAACCACAAACUCCAAAAGGAAAACAAAAUUUCUCGACUUGGGUUUUGAUUUUGGAACAUUCUUCUUCUUCUUCUUCUUCUUCUACCUAAUGUGAAUUGACCCACUUCCAAAAUUUUCCCUUUUAAUUCUUUGAGGACGAAAUUCCGGCUGUCUUCGUCUUCUCAAGGAAUAUUCCGUAGUUUUGAUUUGGGUUCUUUUUAAUUUAUUGUUUCAGUUGCUUUUUGUGUUCUUAAUUUUGUUUCCUGACUUGGGUUUCUGUAAUUUUGACGGGUUGUCUUCUUCUACUUCUUCUUUUUCCUUCCGAACGGCAACUGAGAGUUUGGAUUCUGAAAACGAUCGGUUAAGCUUUUCUUUAGGAUCGAAUCAGAUCUAUUCUAUGUCAUUUGGGUUUCUUUUCUUUUUUGUUUCUUUCACAAAAUUUCAUUAAUGGAUUAUGACGAUUUUGCUUUUCCACCACUGGGGUUUCUGUGCAAUUUCUAGCGUUUUUCCUUCUCUUUUGUUUAUUGUCAGAGUUUGGAAGUAGAAUAAUAAACUUCCAUCUUAGAUCCGUUUCUGUUUCCUGAGUCCAUUACUGAAAACAAGAACUACGAACGUUUUUUUCUUUUUCAGAUUGUUUAUCGGGAAGACAACCUUUCUCUUCUCUCAAUCAAUCUCCGAUUCUUCUAAUCGGACUCUUAAAAAAAUGGUUCGGUUGGAUUUAGAUGAUUUCCGAACUAUAUUAGAUACAGCCGGCGUCGAUGUUUGGACUUUCAUCGAUACAGCUAUGGAGGUCGCUUCAUUAGAUUACGGUAACCAAUUGAAGAAUCGGAGAGAUGGAAUCGUUGAGAGGCUCUACGCGUUGACUUCGCCGCCAUCUCGAUGUCGGAACUGUGAUACGGAUCGCAACCAUGACGGUCGCUCUAAUGGCUGUGAAAUCAAACAGGGGUCAGGUGAGGUUAAGGAAGCUUCCCCUUCAACGCCGCAGUUCGUUGUAGUGGAAGGGGAUGACGAUGGAGCAGACCCAUAUGCAGGAUUGUUUGAUGAUGAACAGAAGAAGGUUCUGGAAAUAAAGGAACAGCUCGAAAUUCCUCAGCAGCCUGAAGAUGCUUUGGUUGAACUGCUUCAAAACUUAGCAGACAUGGAUAUAACAUUCCAAGCUCUUAAGGAAACUGAUAUUGGAAGGCAUGUGAAUCGGUUGAGAAAGCAUCCAUCAAAUGAUGUUCGUAGAUUGGUGAAACAUCUUGUCAGAAAAUGGAAGGAGAUUGUUGAUGAAUGGGUCAGGUUGAAUCAGCCUGGGGAGCAAACAGCUACACUCUUAGCUGAUGGCGACUCACCCCAGCAAAAAGCUCCUCAAAAUGGCUAUCAUCAGGUUCCUGAUUUUGCAUACUCUCCGAAUCCACACAAUGGAGGUUCUGGGUCCGAUAGAAAUAACUCAGAACCGGAACCGAAGGGGAAAUCCGUUCCAAGAAGAGAUGCCCUUCCGAAACCAACACAACAAGCUCCAACGUCGUCUUUAACUCCUCAAAAUGUAUGGUAACCAAAUUAGAGUCUUUUAACUCUAUGUUUGGUUGCCAAAAAUGGAGGAAGAAAAUUGAAACUUACGAUUCUUAUGCUUCCGAAAACAUAACAAACUUAACUCAAACUGGGAUCAAUUGUGUUGAAAUUUGACAAAAUUUGAGUGAGACAGAAAGAACAACAGAAAGAAGCAAAUUUUGAUUCCCAAAAGCUUGCAUCGGCUAGAAAAAGGCUUCAAGAGAAUUACAAGGAAGCUGAAAAUGCUAAAAGGCAAAGAACAAUUCAAGUCAUGGACAUCCAUGAGAUCCCAAAGCCAAAGAAUGCCUUCUUCUCAAAGAACAAAGGCAGUGGUGGUGGUUCUCAAGGCAGACACUGGUGAUAGAUAAUUUGGCAAUGCAGUAAAAGCAAACAACAUCUUCUAAAUUAGGGUUAUCCGUUAUCGUCGAACGAAUCGGUUUAUCAUCAUCCUUUCUAUUUGUUACAUCUUUUGAUCAUUAAAUUCUUAACUUCUCUAUCAAGUUUAAAAAGAGAAUCAAAAAACUACUUUUCGCGUAAAUUUUCUCUUAAUAAGCAAUGCUAAUACUGAUAUAUUGUUAAUCUACUGAGUCUUGAAACCUCACUGCCUGUUCUAUAUCAUGUAAAACUCAAAUAGGAAGGCCAUAUCUCUCUUUCUCUCUA